UGGGGAAUAUGGACAAUGGGCGAAAGCCUGAUCCAGCAAUGCCGCGUGAGUGAUGAAGGCCUUAGGGUUGUAAAGCUCUUUUACCCGGGAUGAUAAUGACAGUACCGGGAGAAUAAGCCCCGGCUAACUCCGUG
rnacentral:rRNA from 1 species